rnacentral:rRNA from 1 species
UACGUAGGGUCCAAGCGUUGUCCGGAUUUAUUGGGCGUAAAGAGCUCGUAGGCGGUUCCGUAAGUCGGAUGUGAAAACUCGGGGCUCAACCCCGAGACGCCAUCCGAUACUGCGGUGACUUGAGUCUGGUAGGGGAACACGGAAUUCCUGGUGUAGCGGUGAAAUGCGCAGAUAUCAGGAGGAACACCGGUGGCGAAGGCGGGUCUCUGGGCCGAAAUUGACGCUGAGGAGCGAAAGCGUGGGGAGCAAACAGG